UAUAGACAUGUUGAAACAUUGGUUCCCAUAUGAUCACCAAAGUUAAGCAACAUCAAGCCUGGUCAGUACCUAGAUGGCUGACCGCUUCGGAAUACAAGGUGUUGUAAG